GAAUCUAAGAGAUUCCGUUCUAAGCGGUGGAUCACUAGGCUCGCGGGUCGAUGAAGGACGGGGCCAGCCCCGAGAAUAAGUGCGAAUUGCAGACACAAAGAGCAUCGACUUUUCGAACGCACAUUGCGGUAUCGGGCCUGCUCGAUACCACGCCUAUCUGAGGGUCGAAUUAGAGAAAAAC
rnacentral:rRNA from 1 species